UGGGGAAUAUUGGACAAUGGGCGAAAGCCUGAUCCAGCCAUGCCGCGUGUGUGAAGAAGGUCUUCGGAUUGUAAAGCACUUUAAGUUGGGAGGAAGGGCAGUAAAUUAAUACUUUGCUGUUUUGACGUUACCGACAGAAUAAGCACCGGCUAACUCUGUGCCAGCAGCCGCGGUAAUACAGAGGGUGCAAGCGUUAAUCGGAAUUACUGGGCGUAAAGCGCGCGUAGGUGGUUCGUUAAGUUGGAUGUGAAAUCCCCGGGCUCAACCUGGGAACUGCA
rnacentral:rRNA from 1 species